UCUAAAAUGGCAGAUUAGUGCAUUGAAAUUAAGCUUCAAAUAUAUUAUUUAAAUUUUUAGAA
rnacentral:tRNA from 1 species